ACUAAGCGUACACGGUGGAUGCCCUGGCAGUCAGAGGCGAUGAAGGGCGUGCUAAUCUGCGAUAAGCGCCGGUAAGGUGAUAUGAACCGUUAUAACCGGCGAUACCCGAAUGGGGAAACCCAGUGUGAUUCGUCACACUAUCAUUAACUGAAUCCAUAGGUUAAUGAGGCGAACCGGGGGAACUGAAACAUCUAAGUACCCCGAGGAAAAGAAAUCAACCGAGAUUCCCCCAGUAGCGGCGAGCGAACGGGGAGGAGCCCAGAGCCUGAAUCAGCAUGUGUGUUAGUGGAAGCGUCUGGAAAGGCGCGCGAUACAGGGUGACAGCCCCGUACACAAAAGCGCAUGUGCUGUGAGCUCGAUGAGUAGGGCGGGACACGUGGUAUCCUGUCUGAAUAUGGGGGGACCAUCCUCCAAGGCUAAAUACUCCUGACUGACCGAUAGUGAACCAGUACCGUGAGGGAAAGGCGAAAAGAACCCCGGCGAGGGGAGUGAAAAAGAACCUGAAACCGUGUACGUACAAGCAGUGGGAGCNUGAGGGAAAGGCGAAAAGAACCCCGGCGAGGGGAGUGAAAAAGAACCUGAAACCGUGUACGUACAAGCAGUGGGAGCCCCACCACUAAGCCAGUGGUGAACUCCACAUACGCAUCCUUUGCUGAGGAUACGGUUAACGGAGCGCAAGCGACGUUCAACCGCAAAAGAAGCAGAGGGGGCUUAGUGGUGGGGUGACUGCGUACCUUUUGUAUAAUGGGUCAGCGACUUAUAUUCUGUAGCAAGGUUAACCGUAUAGGGGAGCCGCAGGGUGACUGCGUACCUUUUGUAUAAUGGGUCAGCGACUUAUAUUCUGUAGCAAGGUUAACCGUAUAGGGGAGCCGCAGGGAAACCGAGUCUUAACCGGGCGUUAAGUUGCAGGGUAUAGACCCGAAACCCGGUGAUCUAGCCAUGGGCAGGUUGAAGGUUGGGUAACACUAACUGGAGGACCGAACCGACUAAUGUUGAAAAAUUAGCGGAUGACCUGUGGCUGGGGGUGAAAGGCCAAUCAAACCGGGAGAUAGCUGGUUCUCCCCGAAAGCUAUUUAGGUAGCGCCUCGUGAAUUCAUCUCCGGGGGUAGAGCACUGUUUCGGCUAGGGGGCCAUCCCGGCUUACCAACCCGAUGCAAACUGCGAAUACCGGAGAAUGUUAUCACGGGAGACACACGGCGGGUGCUAACGUCCGUCGUGAAGAGGGAAACAACCCAGACCGCCAGCUAAGGUCCCAAAGUCAUGGUUAAGUGGGAAACGAUGUGGGAAGGCCCAGACAGCCAGGAUGUUGGCUUAGAAGCAGCCAUCAUUUAAAGAAAGCGUAAUAGCUCACUGGUCGAGUCGGCCUGCGCGGAAGAUGUAACGGGGCUAAACCAUGCACCGAAGCUGCGGCAGCGAGUAAUAGCUCACUGGUCGAGUCGGCCUGCGCGGAAGAUGUAACGGGGCUAAACCAUGCACCGAAGCUGCGGCAGCGAACGUAUCACUUAAAGCGAUUCAGCGGGUUACGAUUGACGGAGCGAAGCGACGUCAAAGCGUAUACAAAGUCGAGUCGGUUUAAGGAUACGUUCGUUGGGUAGGGGAGCGUUCUGUAAGCCUGUGAAGGUGGCCUGUGAGGGUUGCUGGAGGUAUCAGAAGUGCGAAUGCUNGUUGGGUAGGGGAGCGUUCUGUAAGCCUGUGAAGGUGGCCUGUGAGGGUUGCUGGAGGUAUCAGAAGUGCGAAUGCUGACAUAAGUAACGAUAAAGCGGGUGAAAAGCCCGCUCGCCGGAAGACCAAGGGUUCCUGUCCAACGUUAAUCGGGGCAGGGUGAGUCGACCCCUAAGGCGAGGCCGAAAGGCGUAGUCGAUGGGAAACGGGUUAAUAUUCCCGUACUUGGUGUUACUGCGAAGGGGGGACGGAGAAGGCUAUGUUGGCCGGGCGACGGUUGUCCCGGUUUAAGCGUGUAGGUGUGUGUUCCAGGUAAAUCCGGUUCACUUUAACACUGAGGCGUGAUGACGAGGCACUACGGUGCUGAAGCAACAAAUGCCCUGCUUCCAGGAAAAGCCUCUAAGCAUCAGGUAACAUCAAAUCGUACCCCAAACCGACACAGGUGGUCAGGUAGAGAAUACCAAGGCGCUUGAGAGAACUCGGGUGAAGGAACUAGGCAAAAUGGUGCCGUAACUUCGGGAGAAGGCACGCUGACAUGUAGGUGAAGUGAUUUACUCAUGGAGCUGAAGUCAGUCGAAGAUACCAGCUGGCUGCAACUGUUUAUUAAAAACACAGCACUGUGCAAACACGAAAGUGGACGUAUACGGUGUGACGCCUGCCCGGUGCCGGAAGGUUAAUUGAUGGGGUCAGCGCAAGCGAAGCUCCUGAUCGAAGCCCCGGUAAACGGCGGCCGUAACUAUAACGGUCCUAAGGUAGCGAAAUUCCUUGUCGGGUAAGUUCCGACCUGCACGAAUGGCGUAAUGAUGGCCAGGCUGUCUCCACCCGAGACUCAGUGAAAUUGAACUCGCUGUGAAGAUGCAGUGUACCCGCGGCAAGACGGAAAGACCCCGUGAACCUUUACUAUAGCUUGACACUGAACAUUGAGCCUUGAUGUGUAGGAUAGGUGGGAGGCUUUGAAGCGUGGACGCCAGUCUGCAUGGAGCCGGCCUUGAAAUACCACCCUUUAAUGUUUGAUGUUCUAACGUGGACCCGUGAUCCGGGUUGCGGACAGUGUCUGGUGGGUAGUUUGACUGGGGCGGUCUCCUCCUAAAGAGUAACGGAGGAGCACGAAGGUUGGCUAAUCCUGGUCGGACAUCAGGAGGUUAGUGCAAUGGCAUAAGCCAGCUUGACUGCGAGCGUGACGGCGCGAGCAGGUGCGAAAGCAGGUCAUAGUGAUCCGGUGGUUCUGAAUGGAAGGGCCAUCGCUCAACGGAUAAAAGGUACUCCGGGGAUAACAGGCUGAUACCGCCCAAGAGUUCAUAUCGACGGCGGUGUUUGGCACCUCGAUGUCGGCUCAUCACAUCCUGGGGCUGAAGUAGGUCCCAAGGGUAUGGCUGUUCGCCAUUUAAAGUGGUACGCGAGCUGGGUUUAGAACGUCGUGAGACAGUUCGGUCCCUAUCUGCCGUGGGCGCUGGAGAACUGAGGGGGGCUGCUCCUAGUACGAGAGGACCGGAGUGGACGCAUCACUGGUGUUCGGGUUGUCAUGCCAAUGGCACUGCCCGGUAGCUAAAUGCGGAAGAGAUAAGUGCUGAAAGCAUCUAAGCACGAAACUUGCCCCGAGAUGAGUUCUCCCUGAGACUUAAAGUCUCCUGAAGGAACGUUGAAGACGACGACGUUGAUAGGCCGGGUGUGUAAGCGCAGCGAUGCGUUGAGCUAACCGGUACUAAUGAACCGUGAGGCUUAACC
rnacentral:rRNA from 1 species